rnacentral:pre_miRNA from 1 species
UGUUAAAAAUUUUAUUUGUUUUUACUAUUAAAAUUAGUCUAGCGGACUGAGUAAUUAAAUAGUUAUGUGUGGUGUGUCACAUGUACUUUAUCUUGACAUGCAGAGACAGUUUUUUAACAAUAAAAAUUAAUAGAAUUUUUAACA